GAUGAACGCUAGCUACAGGCUUAACACAUGCAAGUCGAGGGGUAACGAGAGGAAAGCUUGCUUUCCUUGUCGACGACCGGCGCACGGGUGAGUAACGCGUAUCCAACCUGCCCCCAACUAGGGAAUAACCUUGCGAAAGUAAGACUAAUACCCUAUAAUUUCCUCAGAUGACAUCUGACGAGGAAUAAAGAUUUAUCGGUUGUGGAUGGGGAUGCGUCUGAUUAGCUUGUUGGCGGGGUAACGGCCCACCAAGGCAACGAUCAGUAGGGGUUGUGAGAGGAAGGUCCCGCACAGUGGAACUGAGACACGGGCCAAACGCCUACGGGAGGCAGCAGUGAGGAAUAUUGGUCAAUGGGCGGAAGCCUGAACCAGCCAAGUAGCGUGCAGGAUGACGGCCCUAUGGGUUGUAAACUGCUUUUAUACAGGAAUAAAGUUAGCCACGUGUGGUUAUUUGUAGGUACUGUAUGAAUAAGGACCGGCUAAUUCCGUGCCAGCAGCCGCAGUAAUAC
rnacentral:rRNA from 1 species